GUGACACAAGGUCACAGUUCAAACACAGGAAUGACAACAUGAGGCCCGUAGUUGGAUGAAGAUACAAGAAGACAGUGAGACGUCAUCUUCGCCUCCUCUAAACCAAUUCAUCUUUUCUCCAGCUGUAUGUCUUCUCUCAUAUUUUUUCGUUCUGGGAGAAUAUUGACAAAUCAUACCUUGUGUGCUUAAGAAGCGCAGAAACGUCACCAUCAACAGAGUGUUAAUGGGUCCUUUUGCAGUGCCCCACCCGGACAUCUGGUGCUGUUUCAUUGUUUGAUGACCCAUGGAGAAUAUCACCUGUGUUUUUUGGACUGGAUACAGCAAGUCCAGGGGUUCUUGCAACUGGAGCCAUUUAUUAUCUUGGUCCCGAGUCUGUCUUGAUCCUGAAAAUAAAAUUGGGAGAACUGGAGUCAUUCUUGCUUGCCACCACAUGUGUUUCAA